rnacentral:rRNA from 1 species
AGGUCUCCGUAGGUGAACCUGCGGAGGGAUCAUUACACAAAUAUGAAGGCGGGCUGGAACCUCUCGGGGUUACAGCCUUGCUGAAUUAUUCACCCUUGUCUUUUGCGUACUUCUUGUUUCCUUGGUGGGUUCGCCCACCACUAGGACAAACAUAAACCUUUUGUAAUUGCAAUCAGCGUCAGUAACAAAUUAAUAAUUACAACUUUCAACAACGGAUCUCUUGGUUCUGGCAUCGAUGAAGAACGCAGCGAAAUGCGAUAAGUAGUGUGAAUUGCAGAAUUCAGUGAAUCAUCGAAUCUUUGAACGCACAUUGCGCCCUUUGGUAUUCCAAAGGGCAUGCCUGUUCGAGCGUCAUUUGUACCCUCAAGCUUUGCUUGGUGUUGGGCGUCUUGUCUCUAGCUUUGCUGGAGACUCGCCUUAAAGUAAUUGGCAGCCGGCCUACUGGUUUCGGAGCGCAGCACAAGUCGCACUCUCUAUCAGCAAAGGUCUAGCAUCCAUUAAGCCUUUUUUUCAACUUUUGACCUCGGAUCAGGUAGG